rnacentral:rRNA from 1 species
UAUAUCGAAUUGAUUCGGGCUCGGCCGAUCCUCCCACCCUUUGUGUACCUACCUCUGUUGCUUUGGCGGGCCGCGGUCCUCCGCGGCCGCCCCCCUCCCCGGGGGGGUGGCCAGCGCCCGCCAGAGGACCAUCAAACUCCAGUCAGUAAACGAUGCAGUCUGAAAAACAUUUAAUAAACUAAAACUUUCAACAACGGAUCUCUUGGUUCUGGCAUCGAUGAAGAACGCAGCGAAAUGCGAUAAGUAAUGUGAAUUGCAGAAUUCAGUGAAUCAUCGAAUCUUUGAACGCACAUUGCGCCCUUUGGUAUUCCGAAGGGCAUGCCUGUUCGAGCGUCAUUACAACCCUCAAGCUCUGCUUGGUAUUGGGCACCGUCCUUUGCGGGCGCGCCUCAAAGACCUCGGCGGUGGCGUCUUGCCUCAAGCGUAGUAGAACAUACAUCUCGCUUCGGAGCGCAGGGCGUCGCCCGCCGGACGAACCUUCUGAACUUUUCUCAAGGUUGACCUCGGAUCAGGUAGGGAUACCCGCUGAACUUAAGCAUAUCAAUAAGCGGAGGAA